rnacentral:lncRNA from 1 species
UGCCACGUAGUCGAGGUUCAGCCGUCUCUCUCCUUGUUUAGGUACUUUUAUACCUUCAAGCGCCAUCCUUCGGUGAAAGACUGGUGGUACUUCUCCCCCCAGUUCGGUAAGAAGGGGUUCGAGCUCUGCCAAGAGAAGGUGGCCAGGAAAUUCCCAGAGCUUGACCUCAACUUCCUGGGCGAGGAGUCUAAAGAUGAGGCCGGCCCCUCGUCUGCCGC